AUUGAACGCUGGCGGCAUGCCUUACACAUGCAAGUCGAACGGUAACAGGUUAAGCUGACGAGUGGCGAACGGGUGAGUAAUGUAUCGGAACGUGCCCAGUCGUGGGUGAUAACUGCUCGAAAGAGCAGCUAAUACCGCAUACGACCUGAGGGUGAAAGCGGGGGAUCGCAAGACCUCGCGCGAUUGGAGCGGCCGAUAUCAGAUUAGGUAGUUGGUGAGGUAAAGGCUCGCCACGCCGACGAUCUGUAGCUGGUCUGAGAGGACGACCAGCCACACUGCGACUGAGAAACGGCCCAGACUCCUACGGGAGGCAGCAGUGGGGAAUUUUGGACAAUGGGCGCAAGCCUGAUCCAGCCAUGCCGCGUGCGGGAAGAAGGCCUUCGGGUUGUAAACCGCUUUUGUCAGGGAAGAAAAGGUUCUGGCUAAUACCUGGGACUCAUGACUGUACCUGAAGAAUAAGCACCGGCUAACUACGU
rnacentral:rRNA from 1 species